CUGUAACAACAAAAAUGGAGACGACACAACUUGGAAGAGAAAUCAACUCGAAAUAGCCAAGAGAAUGUUCGAAAACCCCCUCAAAUCCGAUGCUUCCUUUGAUUCCAACCUCCAAAAGCCCAUCUGCUCAAAUCUUCAUUUCGAGGACGAGGACUCGAGGAGUAUUACAAGGAACAAAGGAUAGUGAAAGCU
rnacentral:misc_RNA from 1 species